UGAGGAAUAUUGGUCAAUGGGGGCAACCCUGAACCAGCCAAGUCGCAUGAAGGAUGAAGGUCUUAUGGAUUGUAAACUUCUUUUAUACAGGAAUAAAUUGGGGGACGUGUCCCCUUUUGCAUGUACUGUAUGAAUAAGGAUCGGCUAACUCCGUGCCAGCAGCCGCGGUAAUACGGAGGAUCCGAGCGUUAUCCGGAUUUAUUGGGUUUAAAGGGUGCGCAGGCGGGAUGUUAAGUCGGCGGUGAAAUUUUGCAGCUCAACUGUAAAAGUGCCUUCGAUACUGGCUUACUUGAGUGUAGAUGAAGUAGGCGGAAUUUGUGGUGUAGCGGUGAAAUGCUUAGAUAUCACGAGGAACUCCGAUUGCGCAGGCAGCUUACUAAACUACAACUGACGCUCAUGCACGAAGGCGUGGGGAUCAAACA
rnacentral:rRNA from 1 species